UAUGUAGGCAGCAAGCGUUGUUCGGAAUUACUGGGCGUAAAGAGUGUGUAGGCGGUGCUCCAAGUCUGGUGUGAAAUCUCCCGGCUUAACUGGGAGGGUGCAUUAGAAACUGGAAUGCUAGAGGAUGGGAGAGGUAAGCGGAAUUCCUGGUGUAGCGGUAGUAAGUGAAACUGGCCGAGACAGUAAUUACUCAAGGGGAAGGGGAAAACCAACCCCGGAAUUGGGGCCGGAAAAGGGGCCAAGGCCUUCCGGCCUUGGG
rnacentral:rRNA from 1 species